GCGCCUGUAGCUCAGUUGGUUAGAGCAAUUGCCUCUUAAGCAAAAGGUCCCUGGUUCGAAUCCAGGCAGGCGCA
rnacentral:tRNA from 1 species